GCGUUGUUCGGAUUUACUGGGCGUAAAGGGCGCGUAGGCGGCGCGGUAAGUCACUUGUGAAAUCUCUGAGCUUAACUCAGAACGGCCAAGUGAUACUGCAGUGCUAGAGUGUGGAAGGGGCAAUCGGAAUUCUUGGUGUAGCGGUGAAAUGCGUAGAUAUCAAGAGGAACACCUGAGGUGAAGACGGGUUGCUGGGCCAACACUGACGCUGAGGCGCGAAAGCCAG
rnacentral:rRNA from 1 species